CCUACGGGUGGCAGCAGUGAGGAAUAUUGGUCAAUGGACGGAAGUCUGAACCAGCCAUGCCGCGUGCAGGAAGACGGCUCUAUGAGUUGUAAACUGCUUUUGUACAAGGGUAAACCUGAAUACGUGUAUUCAGCUGAAAGUACUGUACGAAUAAGGAUCGGCUAAAUCCGUGCCAGCAGCCGCGGUAAUACGGAGGAUCCAAGCGUUAUCCGGAUUUAUUGGGUUUAAAGGGUGCGUAGGCGGAUUGAUAAGUUAGAGGUGAAAUGUCCGAGCUUAACUCGGGAUCUGCCUCUAGUACUGUUGGUCUAGAGAGUAGAUGCGGUAGGCGGAAUGUGUGGUGUAGCGGUGAAAUGCUUAGAGAUCAUACAGAACACCGAUUGCGAAGGCAGCUUACCAAUCUAUAUCUGACGUUGAGGCACGAAAGCGUGGGGAGCAAACAGGAUUAGAUACCCCAGUAGUC
rnacentral:rRNA from 1 species